GCUGCACAAUUAGAGCAAAAUUAUUUUGUAAAAUAGAAAGUACAGACUGAUUGAAGUUUUUUACAUGCUAAAGAAGUAACUUUUUGACUUUCGUUAAAAAAAAUUACUAAUGCCAUAUAUGACUACUCCAAAAUAUGUACGUUUAUACGUAUCUUAAAUACGUAUAAACCUUCAAGUGCCUUUGUGGGACAACUGAAAAAUAUCUAACAAAAUGAGACAGAUGGUUGUUGAGCAGGCAACAGUAUUGGAAAUAAAAAUGCACAUAAAAAAUUGGUAAUAAGAACAAUAAGGGCUUUUUUUAUUUAAUAAAACCAUAUUAAGAGUCUGUAACAAUUGAGAAUUUACUAGAUUUUAAAUGCAUUAUCCUAUUAAGGGAGGUAAAAAAAUAUAAAAAAAAAUCACCACAAAAACCCUCACCAAUUUCAGAAUUGCAGGUGCCUGCCCCAUAAUAACAUCCAGUGUGGCAGGGCUUUAUGAAAAAAGACUUGAGAGCAACUUACAAAAUACAGCACGUUCACUGAUUAUCAUUGAUAUUGCAGUUAAUUGGCAGAUAAAACCAACUGUAUAUUCACUGUAAAAUAUAGUAAUGGAUCACUGUUGCACUGAUGCAAUGUUUUGGGGAUGUUAUGCAACUGAUUCAGGAAAAGUAAUGCUCAUCAAUCCAAUCAUUAAUUAGAUAUUUAAGUUGAAAAAUAGACCACCAAUCUUUCAAUCUUCAUUUCAUCCUUUUUUUCAAAAACAUGUACAUUUUGCAUUAUUUCAUACUUAUAUUACAUAUUACGUAUUACACAGUUCACUGAUCUUUACAGUCAUUAUUAUACCUUUUUACUUGUGUCAUACCUUAUGCUUUUAUAUUGCAGAAUUUUUCAGUAUUUCCAUGUGCAAUCUUAUCCUGUGCAAGAUUUCUUUUUUUAUUGACAUAACCUCUGUCCUUUCAUAUGUUAUUUGUGUUUAUUUGCUGAAUACACUUUAUGUUUACUAUGAGGUGUGCAACUGUAGCAGAAAAAUACCACUUUUUCUCCUUUGCUCUCUCUUAUCUCCUCUUCUCUCUCCCUGUCUCUCUCUCUCUCCUUGUGUCUCUCUCUGUCGAGCUACCCAUGUCGCUCCUGAGCUGCCAGUGAUCCAGCCCCCCUUUGCCCUCUAGACCUGUCUGAAUCGUCCCGCUUUUGGUUGGAGAUCUCAUUAAAUGGAUGCCUCGUGUGGUCUGUUUGGGAUGCGUGUGGUGACUGAGGACGGUUCCACUUUACCAUGAUGCACCAUGAGGCUGAUGCAGACAGCUGUUCUCUAAGGACUCGUGACUAGAGUCGCUCGAUGAUUGGCACCCUGUCCAGGUUGUACCCUGCCUUGUACCCUAAGUCUCCUGGGAUAGGCUCCAGAUCCCCACGACCUGAAUACAGGAUAAAGUGGUAUAGAAGGUGAGUGAGUGAGUCUUCAGAUGAACUGUAAUACUAAUAGACACACUCUGGAGGGAUGAACCACAAAACCUACUCAUCUCCACUCACGUGUUUCUGUAUUUCUCUCUAUGAGUGUGUGUCUGAGUGUGUGUGUGUGUGUGUGUGUGUGUGUGUGUGUGUGCGUAUGUAUGUGUGAGAAAGAGAGAGAGAGAGAGAGACAAUGACUUGCCCAAAGCAGAGAAUUGCUCAGCAUAAGCUAUAUAAUUAUAUCUACAUGUUUAUGCCAAGUUAUGUGGAAGGUACCGUACUUUCCAUGUCUUGUAGAUUAGCUCUGAUAGGCUGCCCAAUUGGAGGAAGAGAGAGUUCUCUUUUUCAUGGUAACACUCAAAUUAGGGGGAGUGUCUGAGUUCGGUAUUCUGUGCGUGCAUGACAUACAGGGCAAAGUUUCAGGUGUAUUGUAUUGUGUUCAUUUCAAAACAGAGCCUCUGUUCCUUUCUGUACAUAUAGUGAAAUAGAGUUAAAUAUUUUUUUUCAGAAGAUCUGAUAAUUCCCAUUUCAAAUAUUUUUAAUCAGUUAGAGAUAAAAUUCUGAUGGUUGCAGAUGGGAUUUUGGGCCAGCCUGGAAUAAUGAAUCUUUUGUGUAUUUCCAUUUUAUUUUUUAUUUGUACAGGUGUAUCUAACCUCUUAAAUAUAUAUUUUUUAAACAUUUAGGACUAUAUUUUUUUAUGAAAUACAGAAAAACUUCUGAACAGGUUCAUGCAGUACCCCUCAGCAGCUUGUCCCUCUUUAAAAUCACUUUACCUUCUGUCCUUUUUGCUGCCCCUAAAGACCCUUUUUUUGACAACUGGUACAGUAUUAACAUGCAUCUCACGUGGUCAGACCACAAACGGUCAGCUCUGAGUACAAGAGCACAUGGAGUCCUAUGUGUCUCUAAGCCAUGUGGUGAAACCACAUAGAUAGGGAAGUGAUCAGGAAUACACUAAUAUGUCACUCCAUUAAAGGACCUCCUAGUCACCAGUGUUACCUGGUUGUCACGCAAAAUAGUGGUGGUUAAAAAGCCAAGCAGCGUUGUGUUGUUUGUUAUAACGCAAAAGGCUUUUAUUGAUCCAUUCUUGUUCAUGUGCUGUGUUGGAAAAAUAUAUUUUUUUUUAUUCUGUAGGAUUCAGGUCUAGAUUAUGGUUCUUAGUAUGAAGUUAGCUUUUUUUUUAAAACAAUUUUAACUAAUUACAGAAAAUUUCAUUAAAAAAAGAGUUAGUAAUUGGGUAUAUUUUAGUUUGUUAGUUUACAUCGGUGGCCAAAAGUAAAAAUGGUUUGACAUUUUCAGUUUUAUUAAAUGACAGGACAAGAAGAAUCAUUUCUUGUUCAAUAUAAAGUAUGUAAGUUCUUUAUUCCUCAAAACUUGGAUUUUUGCUGAAUCCGGCUGGACAUUGAGUCAAAAAGUAGUACUCUGGUGUUACUUGCUCAGUCCACAUCUGAUUGAUUACUUCCUGAAGAUAAUGUACAGAAGACAGUUUUUUGACUGCUACAGCCUUAUUCACUAUUGUCCAAAAGUUUUCUAUUGGGUUUAGGUCUGGAGAUGACCCAGGCCAUGCUCUAGAAGCUGAAUACCUCUGUCACAUAGGCAGUUUCUUACUAGUUUAUCAAGUAAUUAACACAACUCGAGCAACUCAGCUACAACUGAGUUGUGAAAUCACCCAUUUAGUGCACAGGGAGAUCUAGCACAUGACAUGUCGUCUUAAUACCUUUGCCCAUGAAAUGUUAUUACAAUGUUGUAUUUCAUUGGCAGAGAAAAAACUGUGUUGGAUUUUGUUACAGCUACGGGCUAUUUAAAGUGAUUUAUUAUCUACAGCUUAAUGUUUUUUCUUACAAAGCCCCAGAAGUAUGGAAUAGCCUUCCAAAUAAUAUUCGGGACAGUUUUUAAGUCUUGGCUAACGACCUAUUUAUUUAGCCAAGUUUUUUUUGGUAAAUAGAGAUUUCUUAGAUAAAGGAACAGAUCUGGAAGACUUAAAGUUUAGAUGCUGUCGUUCCCACUCUCAUUGAUCACUCACGUCUGUUUCCUUCUGGCUCUCCCUUUUAGUUAUGAUGCCAUAGUUAGUCCUGCCGGAGUCCUUCCCUGCACUCUGCACUAAAUAUUCAUUUACCUUAUACAUUGUGUGACGUUUCUAUAACUGUUAUCUCUCCUUCUCUUCUGCUCUCUCCUCUUCUCUCUCUUUCCCUCUUCCUGUCUCUCUCCCUGUCAAGUUACACAUAUCGCUCCUGAGCUGCCAGUGAUCCAGACCCGCUCUGCCCUCUGGACCUGUUUGACCCGCCCUGGUGCUCCACUUCUGGUUGGAGAACUCGUCACAUGGAUGCCCCGUGUGGUCUGCCUGGGAUGUGUGUGGUGACUGGCGACGAUUAUACUUUACCAUUAAGAAGGUCCUGUCUUCGGCUGAUGCAAACAGCUGUUCUCGGAGGGCUUAUGAUUGCGAUAGUUCAGUACUGGAAUUUCAUACAAGUCUACCUGAGCCUCCAAUAACAAAACUGGACUCCAUAUUAACCUUAAAGAUAUCAAAUGUUAUACUGAAUACUGAACUUCCACACAGUAUGAACGCAGAUCAAUCCCUGCAAUCCGUUUCAUCCAGAUGAGGAUGGGUUCCCUGGUCAGUCUGGUUCCUCUCAAGGUUUCUCCCUAGUGCCAUCUCAGGGAGUUUUUCCUUGGCAAUGUUGCCGUCGCCUUCGGCUCACUCAUCAGGGACAAUCUUAUCAUUUUGAUUCCUACAUUUACAUUUCAAACAAAGUUCCAUAAUUCUUUUGAUUGGUUAAAGCUGCUUUGACAAUUGUUAAAACAAAUAAAUUUUAAUUUAAUACUAAUAAAAUUUAAUUUAAUUGAA